GCGAAACGGGAAUGACGGAGAACAUGGAAAUGACGUAGGCUGUCUAUCCACUGGUGUCCAGCCAGUGCUUUUGUCUUCUCCAGAUGUGAACUGAUGGACUGGAUUACUUGUGGAUUAUUGGGAUGUGUUUAUCAGCUGUUUGGACUCUCAUUCUGACGGCACCCAUUCACUACAGAGUAUCCAUUGAUGAGACCCUGAUGCAAUGCUACAUUUCUACAAACCUGAUGAAGAAUCAAAUUGAGAGUGAGGAUAUUUUCAGCCAAUGUUUAUUUUUGGACAUUCCAAAAGUGCAUUUCUGGUUUCCUUGGAAGCAGACGUCUAAACAGAGGAGAUUUAGGAUAGAGACAGAGAAACGCUUUCAGUAUAUGAGCACGAAGAGUUGUGACAUUAGUACAGAUACAUUAACUCCAGCACACAUUCACAUGAACAUGUGAUUAGACCGUAGAACAGUGUCAGUGAGGGGAAACACUCACACACUCAGAAAUGAAGAAAGAAUUGAGUUUUUAACCAGGGGUGUGAUCUGAAAUGAUCCCGUGAUUUUCAUUGCGAUUCAAUUCUAGAAAUGAAAGCGAGAGGAAACGUUUUCUCUUAAGUUUCUCAUUAAAUAAUCCAAUCCUUUAAUAGAAAGAUGCAAAACACCAUCAGAUUGGUGAUUAUGGUUAUGAAUAUCUGGAUUGUUCAUUAUGAUACUGUAGAGAAAACAGUCAGUGAACUGAUUCACUUCAGAGAACAUAUGAAUCAUUUGUGCACGCUGAUUAAUUCAGGCACUCAGUAUGACUCACAUUCAGGAUCAUAUAUUUAAAUACAUAUUUUAUAUUUUUGACAUGAAAUGUGAAACACACGCAUGUGGUCUUGAUCGGAGGUGUGAGUGAGAGCUGUAUGUGAACUAAUGUGUGACACACAGUCAGCAGCGGUUUUGAGCGUCCAGUGAUUCAUGAUUGUUGUGGACAGUCUGAACUCGACUGCUUUAUUUAGGAAGUAAAACCACAGCUCGGAGGAUUGUGCUGAUCUGACUGAACACUAACCGUCCCGUCAUCAGGAUUCAGAUUGCUUUGUGGUAAUUACAUAAACACAUAAACAAUGCAAAA